rnacentral:rRNA from 1 species
UACGUAGGUGGCAAGCGUUGUCCGGAUUUACUGGGCGUAAAGAGCGCGCAGGCGGUCGUGCAAGUCGCGUGUGAAAGCCCCCGGCUCAACUGGGGAGGGUCACGCGAUACUGCUCGACUCGAAGGCAGGAGAGGGAAGUGGAAUUCCCGGUGUAGUGGUGAAAUGCGUAGAUAUCGGGAGGAAUACCAGUGGCGAAGGCGGCCUUCUGGACGGAUACUGACGCUGAGGCGCGAAAGCCAGGGGAGCAAACGGG